CCUACGGGCGACAGCAGUGAGGAAUAUUGGUCAAUGGACGAGAGUCUGAACCAGCCAAGUAGCGUGAAGGAUGACUGCCCUCUGGGUUGUAAACUUCUUUUAUAUGGGAAUAAAAUGUUCCACGUGUGGGAUUUUGUAUGUACCAUAUGAAAAAGGAUCGGCUAACCUCGUGCCAGCCGCCGAGGUACUACGGAGGAUCCGAGCGUUAUCCGGAUUUAUUGGGUUUAAAGGGAGCGUAGGUGGAUUGUUAAGUCAGUUGUGAAAGUUUGCGGCUCAACCGUAGAAGUGCAGUUGAAACUGGCAGUCUUGAGUGCAGUAGAGGUGAGCGGAAUUCGUGGUGUAGCGGUGAAAUGCGUAGAUAUCACGAAGAACUCCGAUUGCGAAGGCAGCUCACUGGACUGCAACUGACACUGAGGCUCGAAAGUGUGGGUAUCAAACAGGAUUAGAUACCCGAGUAGUC
rnacentral:rRNA from 1 species